AUUAUGGUUUCAAUUUUGUAUUGUUUUAGCUAACAUCCUUGAAUUUAUAAAACUAAUUCAAAAAGCUAAUAUCCUUGAUCGUAAGUAUUUUUAAGAAAAAUUAAUUCAUGGAAGGAGAUUAAUUUUUAGUUAUUUUAAAUUAAAUAGCGUGGAGAAGGAAGUUGAUACCAGUACGGUCAUCAAAAAGUCCACGAAGUCGUUCGUUUGCGCCGCAAAGGCCACCAUCGCGGCCACCUCCGCCUCCACCGUCACCAUCGCCGCCACCAUUGUCACCAUCCCCAUGAAUUUGAUUGGAACUAUCGCCUAGAGAUCGGAUCGAUAUACGGAAUAGGAACAUUGGCGUGGCGUGGAGCAUUUCAUUGUUUCCUUAAAUGGCAGAUUGAAUUAAGAGCAUCUUAUCUGGUUGAUACUUGGAUCUAAGAAGCUAGAUGACCAAACCUUGUGCCCAUUUUCCUUCUUUUGUUGAUUUGAAUUAUAUGUCUCUGUGUCGCAACUAAUGUGACGCAAAGUCUCCAUACUACAGAUCAGGCAAUCCGCUGUGCCCACUGACAGUCCGGUCAUGAUAUUUAAUGCAGUUAUCUGCAAAAUAAAAAAAUUGGUUAUCAGUUUUGUCGGCAA